ensembl:ncRNA Y23H5A.10 ncRNA
UUUUUCUCAAACUACUGCUUUUUCAGUAUUCUCCCUGAAUUUAUUGUGUUUGUUGAGAAAAUUUUAGCGAAAAUAAUUUUUUUAAAAACUCUGUAAAAAAUCAAUUUAUCGAUUAGGUUGCAAUAUGUGAUCGUUUUGUAAUAGCUGAAC